UAGUUCAUCAAGUGCAACUACGAGGAAUGGACUUGAUUUGCAAAUAAAGAUGUGACUAACUUGACGUUGACUUGUGUUAUUUAACUUGCCUUGAUACCUUUGUCCAUCGAUUUGUCAAAUGAAGAUAAAGAAAAAAAAAAAACAAGCAAAAAGACAUAAUUAAUAUAAUCGUAAUAUUCGGAGCAAAGGAGUACAUAUAAAUGCAGUUUAACAAUCAUUGCAAAAUUUAUUUAACGCCACUCUCCAAAGUACACGAUAUAUGCGGUUUGCCCGCGAUAUGUAUUGCUAAUUUAUAAUAAAAUCUGUAGUUAUUACUAAUAACUUAUCUCAGUGCAGUCAUAUUUUCGUUAUAAAAAAAUUGAGUCGGUUUGUGCAACGCGCGCACUUGCUCCUAAUGAAGUAUAAAAUAACUACAGACUGACGUGUAAAAGCGAUCGAGUAAAAUACUUUAUAAAAUAUAAACAAGAAUCGGUACGUCUCUCUCUUUUUCAAUGUCUCGGCUCCUCCGACUUUCGCAAUACUUCUUCAAGAAUCGUU